UGCAGUCGAACGGUAACAGRAAGCAGCUUGCUGCUUUGCUGACGAGUGGCGGACGGGUGAGUAAUGUCUGGGAAACUGCCUGAUGGAGGGGGAUAACUACUGGAAACGGUAGCUAAUACCGCAUAACGUCGCAAGACCAAAGAGGGGGACCUUMGGGCCUCUUGCCAUCGGAUGUGCCCAGAUGGGAUUAGCUAGUAGGUGGGGUAAAGGCUCACCUAGGCGACGAUCCCUAGCUGGUCUGAGAGGAUGACCAGCCACACUGGAACUGAGACACGGUCCAGACUCCUACGGGAGGCAGCAGUGGGGAAUAUUGCACAAUGGGCGCAAGCCUGAUGCAGCCAUGCCGCGUGUAUGAAGAAGGCCUUCGGGUUGUAAAGUACUUUCAGCGGGGAGGAAGGGAGUAAAGUUAAUACCUUUGCUCAUUGACGUUACCCGCAGAAGAAGCACCGGCUAACUCCGUGCCAGCAGCCGCGGUAAUACGGAGGGUGCAAGCGUUAAUCGGAAUUACUGGGCGUAAAGCGCACGCAGGCGGUUUGUUAAGUCAGAUGUGAAAUCCCCGGGCUCAACCUGGGAACUGCAUCUGAUACUGGCAAGCUUGAGUCUCGUAGAGGGGGGUAGAAUUCCAGGUGUAGCGGUGAAAUGCGUAGAGAUCUGGAGGAAUACCGGUGGCGAAGGCGGCCCCCUGGACGAAGACUGACGCUCAGGUGCG
rnacentral:rRNA from 1 species